rnacentral:rRNA from 1 species
GACGAACGCUGGCGGCGUGCCUAAUACAUGCAAGUUGAGCGCUGAAGGUUGGUACUUGUACCAACUGGAUGAGCAGCGCACGGGUGAGUAACGCGUGGGGAAUCUGCCUUUGAGCGGGGGACAACAUUGGGAAACGAAUGCUAAUACCGCAUAAAAACUUUAAACACAAGGUUUAAGUUUGAAAGAUGCAAUUGCAUCACUCAAAGAUGAUCCCGCGUUGUAUUAGCUAGUUGGUGAGGUAAAGGCGCACCAAGGCGAUGUUACAUAGCCGACCUGAGAGGGUGGUCGGCCACCUUGGGACUGAGACACGGCCCAAACUCAUACGGGAGGCAGCAGUAGGGCAUCUUCGGCCAUGGGCGAAAGUCUGACCGAGCAACGCCGCGUGAGUGCAGAAGGUUUUCGGAUCGUAAAACUCUGUUGGUAGAGAAGAACGUUGGUGAGAGUGGAAAGCUCAUCAAGUGACGGUAACUACCCAGAAAGGGACGGCUAACUACGUG